AUUGAACGCUGGCGGCAGGCUUAACACACGCAAGUCGAGCGGGGUGAUGGUGCUUGCACUAUCACUUAGCGGCGGACGGGUGAGUAAUGCUUAGGAAUCUGCCUAUUAGUGGGGGACAACAUCUCGCAAGGGAUGCUAAUACCGCAUACGUCCUACGGGAGAAAGCAGGGGAUCACUUGUGACCUUGCGCUAAUAGAUGAGCCUAAGUCGGAUUAGCUAGUUGGUGGGGUAAAGGCCUACCAAGGCGACGAUCUGUAGCGGGUCUGAGAGGAUGAUCCGCCACACUGGGACUGAGACACGGCCCAGACUCCUACGGGAGGCAGCAGUGGGGAAUAUUGGACAAUGGGGGGAACCCUGAUCCAGCCAUGCCGCGUGUGUGAAGAAGGCCUUAUGGUUGUAAAGCACUUUAAGCGAGGAGGAGGCUCUUUUGGUUAAUACCCAAGAUGAGUGGACGUUACUCGCAGAAUAAGCACCGGCUAACUCUGUGCCAGCCGCCGCAGUAA
rnacentral:rRNA from 1 species